rnacentral:rRNA from 1 species
AGUGAACGCUGGCGGUAGGCCUAACACAUGCAAGUCGAACGGCAGCACAGUAAGAGCUUGCUCUUACGGGUGGCGAGUGGCGGACGGGUGAGGAAUACAUCGGAAUCUACUUUUUCGUGGGGGAUAACGUGGGGAAACUUACGCUAAUACCGCAUACGACCUACGGGUGAAAGCAGGGGAUCUUCGGACCUUGCGCGAUUGAAUGAGCCGAUGUCGGAUUAGCUAGUUGGCGGGGUAAAGGCCCACCAAGGCGACGAUCCGUAGCUGGUCUGAGAGGAUGAGCAGCCACACUGGAACUGAGACACGGUCCAGACUCCUACGGGAGGCAGCAGUGGGGAAUAUUGGACAAUGGGCGCAAGCCUGAUCCAGCCAUACCGCGUGGGUGAAGAAGGCCUUCGGGUUGUAAAGCCCUUUUGUUGGGAAAGAAAAGCAGCAGGUUAAUACCCCGCUGUUCUGACGGUACCCAAAGAAUAAGCACCGGCUAACUUCGUG